UAUGAGGUGUCAUGGGGUUGCU
rnacentral:siRNA from 1 species